rnacentral:rRNA from 1 species
AUGAGGGCCAGAUCGCUGCCGUCCUUCUGCCUCCACCGGAUCAGGUCCGACUGGACCGCCACGGCACCUCCACCGAUAUGCGCCAAGGAGGCCUCCGUUGAUGGCCGGGACGAGGGCAACGAUGGCGUGCCAGAGGAGAAAGAAAAGGAGAAGGAGAAGGAUUCUGCUGCUGCGGUGGGGAGGAAGGUGAUGGUGGUGACCGACGGUGGCGGCGAAGAGGCCCGGACGGCGCUGCAAUGGGCGCUCUCGCACUCCGUCCGGCGGUCCGAUACCGUGGUCCUCCUCGAUGCUGUCCAGAGCACCGGCAAGAACCGAGAUGAUCUAAGAGGGUAUCAGCCCUUGGAGGCCAUGAGGAGCAUUUGCCAUGCUAAAAGACCAGAGGUACGCGUGGAGCUUUCCCUGGUGGAGGGGAAGGAGCGAGGGCCGACCAUCGUAGAGGCGGCGAGGAAGCAGGGCGUGUCGCUCCUCGUCAUGGGGCAGAAGAAGCGGUCCGUGACAUGGAGGCUGCUGGAGAUGUGGAUGGCCGGUGGGAGAGGCGCCGGCGCCGGGGGCAGCACNNNNNNNNNNNNNNNNNNNNNNNNNNNNNNNNNGUCAAAAUUGUCAAAUUUGCCGCGAGGGGGAGGCUAUCUCAUCACCACUAGGCGCCACAGAGAUUUCUGGCUCCUGGCUUGA